GUUUGGUUUCACCAUGAGUGACACCCUCUCAGUGCUCUUUUGUCAAUUUCUUUACUCUCAAAUGAUAAUCUACAAUAAAAUAAAAUUGAUUUUAUAGCUUCUACGACUAUAUGUCCAGGCAUUUUGAUUAUAAUCUGUAAAUUUACUGCAGCAGCUGUUUGCAUGGUUGCCUUAUGGCUGUAUCUGGAUUUUUCAGCUGAUUCCUGGACUUGGUUUUCUUUUGAUUGCACUUAGAUUAGGCCAUUCUAAUGGACAUGGUACGCUACUAAGCACAAACAGAAAGCAGGAAUCGCAUAUGAUUUGUAUUCUGGACUAAGGGAUAUUUGAAUUUUUUAGAAGGAAUUGGCACUCAUUAAGGCUAUCAUGCCGGAUUAAAUUUAUUUACUGAAUAAUGAAUAAUUUGAUAGAUA
rnacentral:misc_RNA from 1 species